AAAAUAACGUUUACUAUUAAAAUAUAUAAUUUUGUAUAAGUAAACCUUAUAUAGAACACUCACAUCGAAUUAGAUUGAUGGUAUGGUGAAAGUAUUAAGAAGCAUGACCAUGUCUUAUUCGUAGCUUACACGUAAAUGUGAAUAGUCACAAUGGCACUGAAAAAAUGGCCAUCGUCUUAUGAUGCAGCAGUAGGUAAAUUUUGACAAUUAACUAGAUGUUAGAUCGAGAUAUUCUAUUUAAUAUAUUUAGAUAUAAAUAGUACCGGCCAAUUCCGUGCCAGCAGCCGCGGGAAGACGGGAAGGUGCUAGCUUUUUACUUAAGGACUCGGCGUAUAGCGUGUGAAGGUGUAAUAGCAUAAAGUAAUUCUUGUAGUAUUCCCAGUGUAACAGUUAAAUGUUAAUAUAUUGGGACGACUGCCAUUAGCGUAGGCGACUUUUCUCUUUAUGCCUUAACUCUAACACGGAAGCCCAGGUAUCAAAGGGGAUUAGAGACCCCUGUAGUCUGGGCCGUAAACUAUUAGUCAAUUAAUAUGACUACGCCUGAUGAUACUAUGGCAACAUAUGAAAUCAAAGAAAUUGACAGCCAUAUAUAUGCGCUGUGGAGGAUGCGGUUUAAUUAGAAGCAACUCUAAAAACCUUACCACCU
rnacentral:rRNA from 1 species